rnacentral:rRNA from 1 species
UACAGAGGGUGCGAGCGUUAAUCGGAAUUACUGGGCGUAAAGCGUGCGUAGACGGUUACGUAAGUCGGAUGUGAAAUCCCCGGGCUCAACCUGGGAAUUGCAUUCGAGACUGCGUAGCUGGGGUGCGGAAGAGGGAAGCGGAAUUUCCGGUGUAGCGGUGAAAUGCGUAGAUAUCGGAAGGAACAUCAGUGGCGAAAGCGGCUUCCUGGUCCAGCACCGACGUUCAGGCACGAAAGCGUGGGGAGCAAACAGG